rnacentral:lncRNA from 1 species
AGUUUUAAAAAUUUAAAUCCGGUUAUAAAACUAAUUUUGGCUAUAACCGGUUUUGUGGAAACAACAAAACCAUUGUAUGGAUAUGCUAUGAUAUCCAGUUAUAACAAGUGGUUGUGAAUUGGUAAUGAAUUGGUUUUGUGGACAAUCCAACCAUGAGUAACCCUAUGUUUUACCAUGCACAAAUUUAUUUCUACAAUUGCAUCAAUAAUUCCAACCAUCAAGACUUAUUGAUCCAGUAAUAAAAAAUAAAUUUGAAACAUGAUAUAUACGCUAUAUUGUACUGUAAGAGAGUUUAUAUUUUGACGGUGAGUCCAUGACUUCAUUCACGACAUUUGAUCUGUAAUGAAAAAAUCCUACUUGGUGAAAAUAAAAAACUUCUAGUCAUUGUUGUCAUACAAAUUAUAUCACCCCUUACUCACUUUAAAAACAAGUUUUCCUGGGGGAAAGGAUUGUGCCCCAUUGAAAUCACAAUGGAAAUAACAGCCUCAACAUUGAGCAGUGCAGCAGACUCAUUUUCGUUUUCAAAACACCGGAAUUGAAAUUUUAUGUAUAACAUAAACCAAUGACUCGCUAUUUGCAACAGGUAUACCCAUUUCCGUUUCACAAUUUUUCCCAGGAGAAUAAAGUAAAAAUGGCAAUCGUCCCAGUAAAAGAUAGAUAAAUUUUUUUUAAAAAAAAAAUACCACAAAUAAUAUUAAAAAGAAUAGAGGUAUCAUCAAGUACAUGUUUGGUAUCAAGUUGGGUUUGCCAAAAUCGCGUGAGCCGCAGUGAUACCAAACAUGCA